AAUUUUUCAUGAGGGCAAAAUAGAAAAUACAAAUAAAAAAUAAAUAAAGGAAUGACAUAAAAUAAAUAAAGAGAGAUUAAAUAAAAAGAAAUUGGUUUGGUUACCAAAGCAAAGACCAGUCAAUAGUCAUAGUAAUCUUCUCUUUGCUUCAUCACCUAGAUCAUAUCGACAAGCUCAAGACCAAAGCAAAAGAUCAGUCACAAGUAUCUUCUCUUUCCUUCACCUCGCCUAAAAUGAAUAAGCUCAAUAAAUCAAUCAUUUUCUCACAGGUCUACCUCGGAACUCCGAAGCGAGGAAAUCUCAGAUAACGGACCGAGAUGUGUUUCCAGUUCUCUUUAACAGAAAUGGUGUUAAGAUUUAUGCAUCCCGUCGAACUUUAUAAGCUUUAUCUUCCAAAACACCCCAUAUUUUCUCUGAUUUCACCUUAUUUAAGCCUUCACCGUUUACUUCGUCAUGCUGUUCCUGGUGGAUCCAUUUUGGAGGUCGAUUUUUCUAAGUUUAGCUAGUUCCUCCUCUUUACUGUCUAUUCUUUUGCGAGAAAUUUUUUUGGGGUAGUCAUUAGAGAAUCUGUGUUUUGUAUUGAAAGAUAAAUAUAGCCCAAUAGUUGAGCUCGUGUGUAAUGUACUUUCUGCUAAUUGCUAUUACUUAAUAUAGCACUAUCCUUUUUGGUUGUAAAUUCUUGUGUAAUGAUGACGUUCCUCUAUGAUUGAGAUGAAAAUAGGAGAAGGGUGUUUAUAGUUAAGUAAUAAAGAUAAGUCAAAAGGUUUCGAA
rnacentral:lncRNA from 1 species